ACGUUGAGAACCCCGAGUUUUUCCUGGAAAAUUUUUACGUGGAUGGCCUGAACACAACAGAUGCGUGUUGCGAUCAACCAUUUUCAACCCUCAGAUAUUACGUGCAGCUUCAGAGAAGAACCGCGUUUACGAUGUUCUUUUUCAUAAUGCCAGGAAUAUUCGUCAAUUUAACGGCACUGAUGGUGUUUAUGCUGCCCUGCGAGUCGGGGGAGAAAGUCAGCCUGGGUAUCAGUGCUAUGCUGGCCAUGAUGGUUUUCCU